AACUUUCAACAAUGGAUCACUUGGCUCUGGCAACGAUGAAGAACGCAGCGAAAUGCGAUAAGUAAUGUGAAUUGCAGAAUUCAGUGAAUCAUCGAAUCUUUGAACGCACAUUGCACCCCCUGGUAUUCCGGGGGGUACGCCUGUUCGAGCGCCAUUACACCCCCCAAGCACGGCUUGAUGUUGGGCGCUGCCCUCGCGGCACGCCCCGAACACGCAGGCGCCCUCGCCCGGCUCUCGAGCGUCUCACGGAUCGUAUCCCCUCGCUCGGGCAGUCGGGUGGCGGUCGCCUCGACCCACCGAUUUUAUCACGUUUGGCCUCGGAUCAGGCGGGGCUACCCGCUGAAUUUAAGCAUAUCAAUAAGCGGAGGCU
rnacentral:misc_RNA from 1 species